UCCGGAGGGGGCUAUCGUUGUUCGGAAUUACUGGGCGUAAAGCGCGCGUAGGCGGGCUGUUAAGUCGGGGGUGAAAUCCCGGGGCUCAACCCCGGAACUGCCUUCGAUACUGGCAGCCUAGAGGAAGGCAGAGGCUAGUGGAAUGGCGAGUGUAGAGGUGAAAUUCGUAGAUAUUCGCCGGAACACCAGUGGCGAAGGCGACUGGCUGGGCCUUUUCUGACGCUGAGGUGCGAAAGCGUGGGGAGAAAACAGG
rnacentral:rRNA from 1 species